AGCUGCUGCCAUGAGGUGACUUCUGCCCAGUGCUCUGGUUGUCAAUGCCAAGAGAUUGAGCCAAGCGCGGGUAAACGGCGGGAGUAACUAUGACUCUCUUAAGGUAGCCAAAUGCCUCGUCAACCAAUUAUUGACGCGCAUGAAUGGAUCAACGAGAUUCCUGCUGUCCCUAGUUGCUAUCUGGUGAACCAACAGCCAAGGGAACGGGCUUGGAUGUGUCAGCGGGGAAAGAAGACCCUGUUGAGUUUGACUCUAGCUUGCUGCUGUGCAACGACAUGUGGGGUGUAGCACAGGUGGGAGGCCAACACCAUGUGCAAGAGCUCAGCUCUUCUCAGCUCAGGGAUAACUGCUACGCGAUGUUGAUGUUGUCACAGGGAUAACUGCUCCUGAUCUGGUAGCAUGGCGCAGCCAGUGCCAGCAGGCAGACUUUCACCACAGGGAUAGCUCUGGACUCCGUCCAGCGAGUCAUGAAUGAAGCCAAUGGUGUGAACCUGCAGUGAAAUACCACUACCUUCACCGUCGUUUUGCUCAGUGAGUGGCUUGGAGCUGGUGGCCAUUGGACAUCAACCGCUGCAUUCCUGUGGCGGUUGUGGCCUCAACCCAUUUCGUGUGCCAAGCACAGUUCACCUCGCGUGGCUGUGUGAUCCUGUAGGGUGCUGACCACACCCCGUCCAUCUGUUUGGAGCCUCGGGACAAUGAGCAGCUGGGGAGUUUGGCUGGGGCGGCACGCCUGUUACAUCACAACGCCGGCGUCCUGAAGCAAUGCUCAGAUGGAACAGAAAUCUCCCAUGGAGGAGAAGGCCAAAGGUGCUGCUGAUGUGGUGACUUCCAGUGCAAGUCCAGAACAUGCAAGUGUGGCCUAGCGAUCCUUUGGCCAAGUUCACGGGUUCCUGACAUUGAAGCCAGAGGUGUCAGAAAAAUUACCACAGGGAUAACUGGCUUGUGGCUGCCAAGCGUUCAAAGCGACGUGGCUUUUUGAUCCUUCGAUGUCGGCUCUUCCUAGCUUUGCACCCGCAGCUGAGUCAAAGAGUUGGAU
rnacentral:rRNA from 1 species